UGUGCCCACUGCUAACCACCCGUGCUAGCCCCACGCUAAAUCUUGACAUCCCAUCCUUCCACCUGCAGAGCAGCUUCUGCCGUGUCUCACCGUGACUGCAAGCCGUCAGCUUCCUCCGGCAAAGGACCUGCCCACCAGGAACAGCUUUGCCCCCAUUCCCUGGAAGCAGUUCCAGCCUUGCCCUGCAUUCUGCAGGCCUGGGAAGAAGAACACAAGGCACUGCAAUUUGCCCCCUUCUCAAGGAGUGAAUAACAUGAGGUACUACAGGAGGAUCCACAGAGUAACAAUUCUUGCAGGGGCUUAAAGGAACGAUCCACAUAGCCUCUGUAAAGAGCCCGUUUCUGAUUGUCCUGCUCCCACCACUGCAGAUGGUGGUGAUAGUCCAUGAAGCUUUCAAUCUGCACAAAAAAGCAUCAGGAGAAAUUAAAGUUCUUCAGGCUGGAACUGCUGCUGCAGAAUAUGAUCGACCCAUCCAACACCAGCAGCUGCUUUUAGCCUUUGGAGAUUGAAGUGUGUGUAAGGGGACACGGAUUUCAGAAAUGAAAACAGCCUGCAGUUUAUGCCAAGAUGACAGAAAGUGACACACCGUGACCUCUAUCCUGCCAGGAGGAGGCUGGGACUUGAUGCAGACUUUUGGAUUUUGAACAAGCACUCAGGUACUGUGGUGAUUAUUUCACAUUGAUUACUUGUUUUUACUGCUGAUACUAUUUUCCCUGAUGGGUUAACUUUUUCCCAUCCAUGUGCCUCUUCCAUCAAGGUAGAUCAUUAAACAAUUAAUUUAGUAUGUUUGAGGGCUGUUGUUUUGUUUUGGGGUUGUUUUUUUCUUUCCCAGAAAUACAUUUAAUUCACCAUGCAUUAAAGUGUGCAGCAGAAAUCACAGUGCAAUUUCAGGAGAAAUUAUGCAGGGAACAGGCAAGAAUUGCACAUUAUUUAUAUCACACAGAACUUGAUAACAACUUAUUAUUCCUCACUCUCAGAGGAGCAAACUGAGCCAUGAGAAGUGAUUGCUGAGAUAUUCCGAUGCUUCUGCAGGCACAAUGAUGUGAGUGUUUCCAAUAUGGCUCAGCAUACUGUCUUCACUUACAUUUAAUGCCAAUGCCAAGCACACGACAUGAGGGCACUAAAGUCCUUUCAGAUGUUGAUGACUCACACUCUUUAAAUACGUCACAUGCCCGGACAUAUCCACCUUCCCAUAGAAGGCACCAAAUGCCAUUAGAUGAAGCAGAUGUUCCUAGCCAACCUGACUAUGACCGCAAAGUGACCCUCAUCUAUUUUGGAUUUAUCAAAUCAUCAAAGGCUCCUGCUCCUGCCAAUGAGACUUGGGGCAGGCGAUUCAACGAGGUCAUUAUAUAAUGACAAGCUGCCUGAGCCAACUGAGGCAGAAAAUGCUGCCUCCAGGGCAGCUGGGCUGUUCCUGAGAGAAGAGGAGCCCACAGGAGCCGAGGCAACCACAGAACAGGCAGUGUCCUCUCCGACCAGGGUGCUGACCCACCACAUCUGAGAAGAGGGACCCUGGUGAGUGUGACAGCCAUCAACCAGCUGGUGACCAUCGGACAAGGUGAACAAGUCAGACGUGGGGGUCCAUCCAGGAAGACCAUUCGGGAACAGUGGGAGGAAGGGAUGGGGACCUGACUGGAGCAUAGAUCUGGGGUCCCUCCAGAAAUUCCCAUCAGGAAGCCAAGACAGAAGGAAACAGAGCAACCCCCAACAUGUCUCAGCCAGGACUGGGGACCUGUGCUGAAAAGAGGCUCCUUGUCCAUAGGCAGGGGAUGCAUGGGUGGUGAUGGCAACAGAGGCAUUUGGGUGCCCUUAUGGCCCUGGCAGCACCCUUCCCCUUUCAAAGGGCCGUAAAUACCAAGGCUAGCCAGCCAGCUUCCAGGGUGCUUUCGUGGUGUACAUACACCAGAACACAGGUAAUCACAAACAUCUAGAGGGUAGCACCUUCAGUCAACCAUGUACCACAUCAUACCAAAUCAUAUACCAGAUAUCAACCAUAGCUUCAAGAACAGAGAUUAAAGCAAAGAAAGUUCACUCAGUCUUUGCACUUUUAUUCCAACAAAAUCCUGGAAUCCCAAAACCUAGCAGUACAGCAGUUUACCAUAGACAACCCAUAGCCCGCUUACUAAGAAAAGAUGCCAGAGCUGCAAUCACAUAAGUACUAAUAAUGUCAAAAUAACAAUGUGGAAUACAGAGCAGACUGUACUCCCAGAUAUUUACUCAGUAACCUAUCAGGAGCUUUACAUAAUGAAAUACAUUGUGAAACAAGAGGUUAGUAAUGAAUAAAACUAGCUGACAAAGAAGUAUUGUAGCAGUUUAUUAGAAAUGUGGACUGUGUCAAGUCCUUUACUGUAACCAUGAAUGGAAUAAUUUCUGUAGCUAUGAAAGAGCAAUCGGAGCAGAUGACUGCACAGAAAAGACUCUCUUUAUGGAGUGCUCAGGCACUAAGAACUGCUCAGCCAACAGCCCUUUUCUGCUUGGGUGCCAUUUCCAAGUGCUUUAUGUUUUGCCGUCAGAGACUUACACAAUCAAAGCCUAGAAUGAAGAUGAUGGUGUCUGUUCCACUUCAGUCACUCUUGAGGAUGAACCUCAUCUUGAAUGGAAAACAGAAAUAGACUCACCAAAAAGUUACAGAAAAUCAGACUGGAAGUGACCUCAAGAGUACAUCUAAUCCUUCUCCCCACUGAACCAUAUCCAAGCCAUGCCUGACAGGGGAUUUCCUCAGAUGGAGCUCCCACAGUCUUUCACAGGUACAGAGAGAGGGUACUGAAGAAGAGCUGUUUUUGGAGCCCAAUCCUGCUGCGAUGGCAAUGGGGGACUGAAUCCUGUUGACACAAGGAGUCAGCCUGACCUCUGAGGCGGUGACCUCAGAAAAGCAGGUGCAUUUGAUGAACUCCAUGCCACAGGAUGUUGCAGAUGCUGAAAGCUUAUAUGGAUUCAAGGAGAGGCAGGGCAAGUUCACAGAUCAGAAAUACUUUCAGGCUAUAAAUUCAGAGAAACAUCUCCAGGUCAGGCAGUCUCUGAGCUGCAAAUGAUUGGAAGCAGGGAGAGUACCCAGGGAAGUAUCAUGUAUCAUGCACCCUGGUUUUAUAUUCUUUCCUAAACAUCUCCUUUUGACGGCCAUCAGGGACAGGACAGAGAGCUAGAGAGCCAUGUGGUACGACCCCAUUCAGUGCUCUUUUAGUCUGGUUUUUUAUGUCCUAAAUUUACAACAUACGACUAGUCCCCGUUAAGUCUGUGCAAGUUGUUCAACAGUCAGAGUGGAACAGUAUGUGCAGCUAUAUGCAUACCUCCAUUGAUAAACUGAACCGCAUCAAGACUUUUAGGUAACUGGCUCACUGUGAACACCAGCAGGAAUUUGGCAUGAUCUUCCACCACAGAGACCGGCUACCACCAAGCAGCCGCUGCUGGUGAUGCAGCAGCUCUCAUUUCAAUGCUCUGGUGAGGCAUGGUGCCUUGAGAGCUACUGUCUGCCUGAAGGUGAUGAACCAGUCAAGAGACGUAACUCAGUGCAGUACGAGGCACUUCAGGAACCCUGCAGCACCACUGCUCCAGACGCGGGAGAGGAGCGGGAUCCCCCCGUUGGUAUGAGGCAGCAGCUCUUGCUCUCUGCUAAGUUCAGAAACAUCCCCGUUUUCCACUCUGCAGGGCAGAGACCUUAUAACGCAACUGCCAUGUUAGGGAAACCAAAGAAACAACGAUAAUACAUUGCCUAUUGGAGCAUAUUAACAUGCCCCACAGCAGUCUCAUUAUGACUGUUAAACAUUUAGUCAAGAGACUGAAAUAAAUGUCUUUUUUAUUCAUAGCUUCCCCUGCAGCCUCUCUGCUACUUCCAGCCCCUCCUACCAGCACAGGAACCGGAGUGGUUCAAUAGUCCAACAGUCAAACAAUGCUGUCAACUGCCUACUUUCAAAUUAAAUUAAGCUUCUCUAAUGCUUCUAAUUUAAUGUAUUAAUGCACACAACAAAAGCAAAGCUUUUUGGUUUGGCUUUUCUCUGAUUGAUGUGGUCCUGUGCUUCAAAAUCUUUUCUGAGAGGCUGAGGUAGCUUUUAAAUUUUACUUUCAACCGAUAAGUAAAUAAACAGAUUUGAAUACUGAUCACUUUCUAGCACCAUGAUUUUGAAUUUAAAGAAACUACUAUUUUAAAGGUGACUGGUUAAAGGUGAAGAACUCUAAAAACUGGACAUGUCAGUAAAACAUCUCAGCUAUGUUUCAUCCUUUGUCUCCAUUUUAGGCAACAUGAGGGAGAAUCUGUAACUUACAUCACGCUAUUAGGAUCUGGCCCUGUGCGAAUCAAUAAAGACCGCAUGACUUUACUCCACACUCCAGUCCAAAGCCUUAACUACUCGCUAGACAGCCUGUAAUUUCAGCAAGGAAAGAGAGCGCCUGCAGGUGUUGAAUUAAUGCACCAUGAAAGCAGAACUCUGCUGUGUUGCAAUGGAGCUAAAAUCAGGCUUCUCUGGUAUUGUUGACAGUAUUCAGCUCCCAGUGUAUUUCUGACUUUGGAUACAUAGCCUACCUAGUAAUUUUGUCACAUCUUGAAAGUAGAGCAGGGGAAAAAAUCCAUUUAGACUCUAACAGCCAUAGGUCAUAUUUACCAUUCGCUAACAGACUGCUGUGUUGUGAAUGGAGCCUGCUUCUUCAGUCCCACAACACAGAAGGUUUCUCUUGCAUCACUAAAACUAUUAGAAAGGAACUCAAUAACA